ACCAUCUUUUAGGGCUACAAAAUUCACCUCCUCCUUUGUAUACCAUAGAGAUUUGAAAACUCUGUACAUUGCCUCUUUGUUCACUUUCUCUUGUGUCAUCAAUUUACCUAUAGCCCAAUGUUCAUAUCCUUUAGAGUUAUCCUUAUUUGCUUUUUACCUGACCACCCUCUUUUUUUCUUCCUCUGAAAAACUUAGUUUCGCCAGCAAGAUACUAAUAUCUUCUUCCAUGAUUAACACCAGUAAAGUCCUAAGAUUCAAACAAAACCACUUUCUUCCAAACAAACCCCCAGACAGCCUUCAGUCUCUAUGGCCAGAACAAGAAACCGAAAGAAAAGGAAAAUCGAGAGAAGUAAAACUCCCCACGAAGAACCAC
rnacentral:lncRNA from 1 species